GCCUGUGCAGGCAGCCCCAGGUGGCCCUCGGGUGGGAAGGGUAUCAGGCAUGUGUCCCCCAUUUUUAUUUGACUGUCUGUCUAUGGCAGACUGUGAAACCCCCUCCCCCCACAGCAGCUAAAAAUCUCAGACUCUGAACAAACUUUGAUGAGAGCAAUGUUGAAAGAAACCCAGCCAGGCUUCAAAGUAUGAAGCCAGGGUUCCCCCAGCUUCCUCACGCUGGCUCCAUUCGAUGGGAAGGAAGCAGAUUUCCUUCUGAGAAUCCAGCCCUAAGCCCCACAGUUCCUGCCCCCUUCCAGCAGGAAACAAACACCCCGAGGAAAGGGGAAAGGUCACAGGAUGAGGGCCCUGCAGUCUAUGAGGACCAGGCCGGAUGCAGCACUUCCAUCAAUGACCAGAUGACGUGGGCCCUGGGGACUCCAUGCCUGCCUUCAUGCUCCACUCAAGGGUGGUCUGAGGAGACGGGGACCUGAUAAUCUGGAGUUGUUAUCAGGGCAGCCACAUCCUCAGGUUCUAUGCCUUCAGUUUGGGAGCACAUUUCCCUCCAAACUACAAAAAGGAAGGAAGCCAAGGGAAGAGGUUUGUUCAGGUUUUUCCAAGUGGGCACCAGGGCUGUGCGUGGAGGUCUGUCCCCGAGUGUCUCAAGGUAAGGAGCCAAAGCGGCAUAAGUGGACUGACAGAGGACAGAAUUGGUGAAGAACCAGCUGAGGUGUGGGUACCCAGUGGUGCACACAGAACAUUUACCAAAACAUAGGUUAUGCAUCGUCCCAGAAAACAAGCUUUGUACAUUUAAAAAGACUGAAGUGAUUGCAUUCCAAUGAAGAUAGAAAGAAUCCAGCUAGAAAACUCAUCCCCAUACUCAGAAAUUAAGCAGCCCGUAAGACAUCACAGUUUAAAGAUUUAUUUUUGUGUGUAUGGAGUAUUUGCCUGCAUGUGUAUCUGUACACCAUGUGUUUGUCUUGUCCAAGGAGGCCAGAAGGUGGUAUUGGACUUCCUAGACUUGGAGUCAUUGUUGAUUGAACCGCCACGUGGGUGCUGGGAACUAAGCCCGGGCGUCUGCAAGAGCAGCCAGUGCUCUAACCAUAAAGCCAUCUCUAUCACUGUGGCUUAGUUGAAAAGUAUCUUUUACAUUUCUGGGUAGAGAACAGACAACAGAAAUGAGGAACACUCAGUAAGUGAAGGUGGAGUCCCAGACCAGAGAGAGGCACCAGAGGAACAACAAAAGGGCGAGAACUCGGGACUCACAGGUAGAGUGUUGGGAUGGGUGCAGAGGAGGGGGGGUGCGGUGCUGAUUUGACUGUGAACUUGACACAAUGAGUCCCCAGGAGCCCAGAGAACAAUGAAUGUGGGUGAUCUUACCACCUCCCCUUCAAGGGAUUGUUUAGCCUGGGAAAAUCCAUCCUAAAGCUAAACUG
rnacentral:lncRNA from 1 species